GUGCUUUGUUUUUGCACAGAUUCUGUACCAGACAGUGACAGGAUUAAAGAAGGAUUUAUCUGGGAUUCAAAAGGUGCCUGCACUCCUUGAAAAUAAUAACGAUGAGGCAGAUUCUAAUGAUGAGGAUGAGGAUGACAGCUCUGACAAUUCAGACUCAAGUUGUAAGGAACAGGAAGACUUGGGGCUUCCUAAAGACCAAGUAGCUGAAACAGGUGUUGACAAAAAGGAAAGGAAGAAAAUAGUCAAAGAAGCUCAGAGGGAGAGGAGGAAACACAAGACCCCGAAGCACGUAAAGAAGCGGAAAGAGAAGGUGGCAAAAAUGAAAAAGGGCAAAUAAAGGCGGGUGAUCCUUUUUUUAAAAAAGUUUUUCUUGUUUUAGUGAGUCGCUAUUUUGGAGCGGAGUCCAUUUUGUUGCGUAUCAACAGAGCACCGUGAACGGGCUAAAUUGUUACCAGAUUGACUUGUUCCCGUGCGCUCCUGCAGAAUCAGAAGCUCCCGCUAAGAAUAUAUUCCCGUGGAGAAAUGAAAACAAUUCCACAAACGUUUUUUUAAAAAGCAAUCCAGAGAAAUUGAUUGCAACAUACAAGUGUAUAUUUUGUACUUGCAUAGUGUCACCUGUUCUAACCCCCCCCCUCCCUCCGUCCAGGAACGAAAGCCGAAACCAACGUAAAUGAGAAGGUUUCUUUUAAUCAAUCCAG